ACAGAAGUGGUUGGGCGUCGUGAGGAACGCAUCGGCGGCAGAACACUCAAGCGGCUGGUUGUUGAGAGCACGCCAGCUGAAGAGCACCCCUGCACACUGGCAGGCCAUCCACAGGUGUCAGAAACUCAGCUCAGCUGGAAGAAACUUGAUGUACCAGGUAUCAGAGUAGCAAGUAAAGCCACAAGCCAAAAAUGAAAGAGAAUCUUUUAAGUGCUUAUCGUGAUGGUGUAAGUAAUUGUCCAAAAGAAACGCCGAUUCCUUCUGUUCCAUUUUUACCUGUGGAUUGUGGAUUGAAAUAACCAUUGGACCAUGAGGAGAGACUCUGAAGAGAGGCUAGUGAUAUGUGAUAUAAUACUCUUUUGUGACGUUGGACCAUGGCAGUGAGCCGCAGCUCCCAGUCAGCAAUGCGAUCCCAAGAAUAAACAACCGAUUCUUGACAGUGUCCUAUGUUGCCAGUCGAUUUUGUUCAACAGUAGGUACAUAUCACCUGUAGACCCAAAACAACUUCAAAUAGCCAUUUCCUUCACUGCUGUGAGCAGAUGUAGACAGCCUGCUGUGUUAAUUUCCUAAGGCUGCUAUAACAAGUAACCACAAACCCGGUGUCUGUAUUAGUCCAUUCUCACACUACUAUAAAGAACUACCUGAAACUGAGUAAGUUAUAAAGAAAAGAGGUUUAAUUGACUCACAGUUCCACAGGCUGUAUAACAAGACAUGGCUAGGGAGACCUCAGGAAACUUACAAUCAUGGCAGAAGGGUGAAGAGGAAACAAGCAUGUCUUCAUAUGGCGGCAGGAGAGGAAGAGUGAAGGGAGAAGUGUUACACACUUUUAAGCAACCAGAUCUCAUGAGAACUCCCUCAUUAUCAUGAGAACUCCCUCACUAUCAUGAGAACAGCAAGGGGAACAUCUGCCCCCAUGAUCCAAUCCCCUUCUACCAGGUGUCUCCCCCAACACUGGGAAUUAUCAACGUUGGGAAUUAUCACAUAAAAUUUGAGUGAGGACACAGAACCAAAUCAUAUCAGUGGCUUAAGACAAUAGAAAUGUAUUAUUUCAUAGUUCAGGAGGCCAGAUAUUCAAUAGGAAAGUGAUGGCAUGAUUGAUUUCUUCAGGAGGCUUUCAGGGGAAAUCUUUCUUAUCUUCUGGUGUUUUCUAGCAAUCCCUGGCAUUCCUUGACUUUAAGCAGUGUAACUCCAAUCUCUGCCUCCUUGUAACAUGGUAUUCUUUGCUUUAUGUGACUGUGUAUUCAUGUAGCCUUCUUACAAAGAUACCAGUCUUUGGGUUUAAGGUCCACAUUAAUCCAGUAUAGUAUGACAUCAUCUUAACUAAGUGCAUUUGCGGAGACCCUGUUUCCAAAUAAGUUAACUUAGGAUCUAGGUGGACAAGACUUUCUGGAGGACGCAAUUCAGCCCAGUACAUUUGUUUACUGAUUAUAUAUCUAUACACACACACACACACACACACACACACAUAUAUAUAAUAUAUAUUAUAUAUACACACACAGACACUAUAUGUUUAUACAUACAAUUAUACAUACAAUAUAUAGUAUAAUUAUAUAUACAUAUAGUGCAUUAUAUAUGUAUAAUUGCAAGUGUGUGUGUGUAUAUAUAUAUAUAUAUAAUUUUUUAAGGGAAUAAUGAGUUUUGCAUCUGCCAUAAAAUCUUUUAUUCUUCUUGUUAGUGUAAACAAAUGGGAGAAGAAAUAAGAUUUGACAAAUAUGCCAGGGCAAGAUUACAGAAGGACAUAUACAUUGUGGUAAAAAUAAUAAUAAUAAUAAUAAAAGUGAUUGCUACUUUAUGGCAAGAAGGAGCAAUAAAAAUUUGAAAGUACUUAUGUAGCAUCUACUCUGUGGCAAUACUAUACAAGAAUAUUCUGAAGAGAGGAUAAGGAGUUAAAAAGAAACAUGGCUUGAUAUGUAUCACAGUUCAAAAGGAAACCAUUGUCCAUUGGUAAACGUAGCACAUUUGGGUUUGUUAAGCUUGAAAUUGAAAAAAAAAAAAAAAAAAAACAGGUAAAAAAACAGGUCUAGCCAAGCUGAAAUAUACCUAGUGUAAAUAAAAUAAUAGGAUGAAGUCCCAUGAUAUCUCAGUAAGAAGGCAUAAAUACAUGAUCAGGGAAGGGAUUCAGAGCUCUGCAACAUUGGCAAGGUUUUUACCACAAUUAUGGUAUUUCUUGGCAGAAAUAAAAAAAUUGGGAUAUAAAAUGAAACAGGCAGUUAGAGUUAUA
rnacentral:lncRNA from 1 species